CUAAUUUAUUUAUCUUUUAGCCUCAAUUUUUACUGAAGUCAUUAUAAUUUUAGUCAUUUUCACUACAAAUAUAGCCAAGUGACUCAUUUCUAAAUUAUAAUUUUGAUCAAACCUUUAAAUCUCAGCCGUCAUCAAAACUAGUCCGACGACUGAGAUCAAAGGAUCUAUUUCUUUCCCAUUAAGACAUCAAAAACCCAAACCCUAACCCUAAUCUCAUUCCCUCACCAUCUACCCCCUCUCUCUCUCAGACCUCUUCAUCAUCAAUGGCGGCGCCGCCGCCCCUCUAUCACCUUCCCACUUCGGUGGACGGCUGCCGCCGCUCCACCACUCCCCUUCCUUCUCUCUCCCGUCGUCCUCUUCCCCCCCCCCCCCCCCCCCCCCCCCCCCCCGAUGCACAACCCCCAGAUCCGCCAUGAGCCACCGGCGAAACAGCCACCUCCGUUGCCGCCUCUCCCUCGCCUCCCCGUCGAAGCCAUGCAACUGGAGAAGUCAGCCGGCGAAGCCCCUCAAAACGCCAAUGCCAUCGCCGCCUCCAGCCACCCCCAGAUCCGCUAGCAAUCGCCGGCGAAACAGUCCACGCACCGCUGCCCGUCGAGGGACCCCUCUGGCGAAGCUACCAUCUCUGUAGCAAUUUAUCCCUGCCUCCAGCCACUGGAAUCUCACCUCCAUACGCGCCUCUGCCUACCCACAAACUUCUUCUAGCGAUCCGGCUAUUCUGGCCAAAUUUGACAAGAAAAGGAGGUGUAAAUUUUGUAAUGGAUCUCAGGUAUAAAUUGACAGUCUCGGGUAUUUGAAGAGUCGUCGGAAAGUUCGUGGGGGAGGGCUACACCUUUUUCUUUGUUCAUUUAUUUACUUUUGAUUCAUGAUGUUGUAAUAACUCUGUAUAAACGUUAUUAUUAUUGUAAUAAUAAUUAUUGGGGACU